AUAUCUUAGAUCUUUGAUUCUCAAAUCUAGAUCGCUUAAUUCUCAAUUAAGUUUUGGAUUGACAUGGGUUUGGAUUCGAUGUUUGAAAAUAAUUUUUAAUUUUAUAAAAUAUUUUUUAUAAUCAAUCAUCUAAUGAUCAAGACUCUAAUUUCAGAUCUAAUAUACAUUAUUUCAGAUCUAAAAUAAAAUUUUAAAUUUUUUUCAUUAUUUAUCAUCAUAGAAA
rnacentral:lncRNA from 1 species